GACGAACGCUGGCGGCGUGCUUAACACAUGCAAGUCGAACGGAAAGGCCCUGCUUUUGUGGGGUGCUCGAGUGGCGAACGGGUGAGUAACACGUGAGUCUCCUGCCCUUGACUUUGGGAUGACUUCAGGAAACUGGGGCUAAUACCGGAUAGGAGCUCCUGCUGCAUGGUGGGGGUUGGACAGUUUCGGCGGUUGGGGCUGGACUCGCGGCUUAUCAGCUUGUUGGUGGGGUAGUGGCUUACCAAGGCUUUGAAGGGUAGCCGGCCUGAGAGGGUGACCGGCCACCUUGGGACUGAGAUACGGCACAGACUCCUACGGGAGGCAGCAGUGGGGAAUAUGGCAUAAUGGGCGGAAGCCUGAUACAGCAACGCCGCGUGCGGGAUGACGGCCAUCGGGUUGUAAACCGCUGUCGCCUGUGACGAAGCGGGAUUGACGGUAAUGGGUAAAGAAGCACCGGCUAACUACGUG
rnacentral:rRNA from 1 species